rnacentral:rRNA from 1 species
CCUACGGGGGGCAGCAGUGGGGAAUUUUGCGCAAUGCGCGUAAGCGUGACGCAGCGACGUCGCGUGAAUGACGAAGGCCUUCGGGUCGUAAAGUUCUUUCGACAGGGAAGAAAAUGCCUAUAAGUAACUGUGUAUGUAUUGACGGUACCUGUAUAAGCAGCCCCGGCUAACUCCGUGCCAGCAGCCGCGGUAAUACGGAGGGGGCGAGCGGUGUUCGGGGUGACUGGGCGUAAAGAGCACGUAGGCGGUGUUGUAAGUCAUUAGUCAAAGACUAGAGCUCAACUUUAGUAAGGCUAGUGAUACUAUAAUACUAGAGUAUCAGGGAGGAUUGCAGAAUGCCUGGUGUAGCGGUGAAAUGCGUAGAUAUCAGGAGGAAUACCGUUAGCGAAGGCGGCAAUCUGGCUGGAAACUGACGCUGAGGUGCGAAAGCGUGGGUAGCAAACAGGAUUAGAUACCCUUGUAGUC